rnacentral:rRNA from 1 species
GCUUACCAUGCAGUCGAACGAUGACUUCUGUGCUUGCACAGAAUGAUUAGUGGCGAACGGGUGAGUAACACGUGAGUAACCUGCCCUUGACUUCGGGAUAAGCCUGGGAAACCGGGUCUAAUACCGGAUACGACCUCCUGGCGCAUGCCAUGGGGGUGGAAAGCUUUAUUGCGGUUUUGGAUGGACUCGCGGCCUAUCAGCUUGUUGGUUGGGGUAAUGGCCCACCAAGGCGACGACGGGUAGCCGGCCUGAGAGGGUGACCGGCCACACUGGGACUGAGACACGGCCCAGACUCCUACGGGAGGCAGCAGUGGGGAAUAUUGCACAAUGGGCGAAAGCCUGAUGCAGCGACGCCGCGUGAGGGAUGACGGCCUUCGGGUUGUAAACCUCUUUCAGCAGGGAAGAAGCGAAAGUGACGGUACCUGCAGAAGAAGCGCCGGCUAACUACGUGCCAGCAGCCGCGGUAAUACGUAGGGCGCAAGCGUUAUCCGGAAUUAUUGGGCGUAAAGAGCUCGUAGGCGGUUUGUCGCGUCUGCUGUGAAAGCCCGGGGCUCAACCCCGGGUCUGCAGUGGGUACGGGCAGACUAGAGUGAUGUAGGGGAGACUGGAAUUCCUGGUGUAGCGGUGAAAUGCGCAGAUAUCAGGAGGAACACCGAUGGCGAAGGCAGGUCUCUGGGCAUUAACUGACGCUGAGGAGCGAAAGCAUGGGGAGCGAACAGGAUUAGAUACCCUGGUAGUCCAUGCCGUAAACGUUGGGCACUAGGUGUGGGGGACAUUCCACGUUUUCCGCGCCGUAGCUAACGCAUUAAGUG